rnacentral:rRNA from 1 species
UGCCGUUGCCGGCGACCGGCGCACGGGUGAGUAACACGUAUGCAACCUGCCCGUGGCAGGGGGAUAAGCGGGGGAAACCCCGUCUAAUACCGCGUAACGCGGCCUAGGGACAUCCCAAGGCCGCCAAAGGGAGCAAUCCCGGCCACGGAUGGGCAUGCGGCGCAUUAGCUAGUCGGCGGGGUAACGGCCCACCGAGGCGACGAUGCGUAGGGGUUCUGAGAGGAAGGCCCCCCACACUGGUACUGAGACACGGGCCAGACUCCUACGGGAGGCAGCAG